rnacentral:rRNA from 1 species
AUUGAACGCUGGCGGCAGGCCUAACACAUGCAAGUCGAGCGGAUGAAGGGAGCUUGCUCCUGGAUUCAGCGGCGGACGGGUGAGUAAUGCCUAGGAAUCUGCCUGGCAGUGGGGGAUAACGUCCUGAAACGGGCGCUAAUACCGCAUACGUCCUGAGGGAGAAAGUGGGGGAUCUUCGGACCUCACGCUAUCAGAUGAGCCUAGGUCGGAUUAGCUAGUUGGUGGGGUAAAGGCCUACCAAGGCAACGAUCCGUAACUGGUCUGAGAGGAUGAUCAGUCACACUGGAACUGAGACACGGUCCAGACUCCUACGGGAGGCAGCAGUGGGGAAUAUGGGACAAUGGGCGAAAGCCUGAUCCAGCCAUGCCGCGUGUGUGAAGAAGGUCUUCGGAUUGUAAAGCACUUUAAGUUGGGAGGAAGGGCAGUAAGUUAAUACCUUGCUGUUUUGACGUUACCAACAGAAUAAGCACCGGCUAACUUCGUG